AAUCUGUGCGAUUACUAAUCUGUGCCCUCAGUUUCUGCAAUCAGUGCGCACAGAUUGUGUCGACAGGUUGGACGCAUGGUACGUGUGGUACAAUCUGUUUUGUUGUAUCCGGUUUUAUUGUGAAAGGCUAAACAGGAAGUGAAUAUUGUGAGUGCGGAGACAACUUGAUGUUUCUGUGUUAGGUCUCGCUUGAAUCUUUUCCUCAGAAUACAACCGUAUGAAGCCGCAUCUUCAAGGCAAAUGAAUCCUGAAACGGAGGUUAGCCUCCUCCACCCUCCCGUCCCCCGUUUUGUUGUGAAAGAGAAUAAACAUCUGUCAGAGCGGCUUGCUGCAGAGAAAUGUCCGCGCGUGGCGAGCUUCAUGCAGAAGACGGAGCCGCAGCCCCGCUCUUACUCUGAAAUGUUUCAAAAUUUAUUCAGAUGUUUCUGUGGUGUAAUAAACGUUUUUGAAAGGGUAAUAAA